AUGGCUCCGUCUCCGGCGGGCCCCACCUUCGAGGACCUCGAGCGCGACCUGCAGGCGGUGCUCAUGGACCAGAACCACCACGGCGGCGGCGGCGGCGGCGGCGCCUCCGCCGAGGAGCUCAGCAUGUACCGCAGCGGCAGCGCUCCCCCCACCGUCCAGGGCGCCCGCGCCGCCGUCGGCACGCUCUUCUCGGCCGCGCCCCCGGCCCAUGUGGACAACAGCGGCCUCGGCGGCGCCGACAUGCUAUCCGAGGAGGAGAUUCUGUCUCACCCGGCGUACCUGCAGUACUACUACAACAACGAGCACCUUAACCCGAGGCUGCCGGUGCCAAUGGUGUCCAAGGAGGACUGGCGCGUGGCGCAGAGGUUCCAGGCUGCCUCCGGGGGCAUCGGGGACUGGAGGAGGAGGCCCUCGGAGGCCACUGGCGGGAGCUCUCUGUUCUCGGUGCAGCCAGGAGCACGCGAAGGCAACGGAGUGGACUAUCUCCUGAAUGAUAGGAUGGGCAGAGGUGAAAGGAAUGGGCUCGCACGCCAGCAGUCGUCGGAGUGGCUUGGGCAAGCCGCUGAUGGGCUUAUUGGGUUGUCUGAUGUCAAUGGCCUCGCCUCCCGCCGCAAGAGCUUUGCGGAUGCCCUGCAGGAAAAUAUUAGCCGUCCUGCUUCUAAAGCUGGUCAUCUUUCACGCUCUAAUAGCCGGAAUGCUUUUGAGAGCCCAAAUCUUUCGCGCUCUAAUAGCCGGAAUGCUUUUGAGGGCCCGAAUCUUUCACGCUCUAAUAGCCGAAAUGCUUUUGAGAGCCCAAAUCAAGUAAGGUCCUCUGAGUCAUCAAAGGCACAACUUCAGAGUAGGUCAGAAUCUAUGAAUGGCUUUCGGUCUGGAACGGCUUCACCCAGUCUUGUCAGGGUACAAAGUUUAGGUUCUUCAAUGUCGCACACAUUUGCUUCUGCAGUAGGCUCUUCGAUCUCAAGAAGCACCACCCCUGACCCUCAGUUGAUGCAGAGGGCUCCAAGCCCUUGCCUUCCUCCAGUUGGAGUUAGGAUGGGAAAAGCUGAUAAAAUGGUUGAAGGCAGAAAUGUCACUUCUCGUAAUCAUGAUGGUUCUGACACUGCAGCAGCUCUAUCUGCUAUGUCCAGUUUAAACCUCUCGGGGAACAACAUGGCCAAUUUAGAAAGUGAUGUGCAAAAUCAUAUUUACCAGAACUUUGGUGGCGAUCAAAGAGAUGCGCUCUUUAAUGUUCCAAAGGAGCAUAGACAGUUUUCUACACAGAACUUAGUUCAUAAUGCUGAUGAAGAGCCGAUAAAUGCCCUGGAAUAUGCAGUCUUUCCAAAUGGUAGCAGUCACUUGAGUAAUCCAAAUAUGAGUAAACUGGCAGCUGAAAGCAACAGCAAGUUCCCUGCACAAUCACAGCAUGGUAAUGGGCACAAGAAAGGAUCUUUGCUGAGCCCGACUGGACCUGUGUAUCUCUACCAAAACCUGAAUGGUGAUGGCUCAAACAUUGAUGUACCUGGACGACAUGCAAAGGCUAAUUCACGAAGUUCUGGCUCGUCCAUGCUGAAUAAUCACCUGAAUACUGAUGGUGAAUAUGCCAACCUUCUUUCAAAUCAAAGGGGGACUGGUUAUCAGGUCCAACCAAUGGAUGCAGUUUAUGCCCCUUACUUGCAGGCAAACCCCAACUCUCCCCUUGGUGCAGCUGGAAGCAUGAGUCCUUUCCGGGGAAGUAACUUUUCUGGUUCAGGCCACAUGGAUAAUGCUGCAUAUCAAAAGGCUUAUCUUGCAUCAUUACUUGCUCAGCAGAAGCUACAGUACGGAAUGCCAUACAUGGGCAAAUCUGGUGGUCUUAGCCCAACUCUUUAUGGCAGUGAACAAGCAUAUGGCAUGGACAUGGCAUAUUUAUCAAGUCCAACAUCUAGCCAUUUUAUCCCAUCUCCCCAGGGUCAUGCCAGGCAAGGAGAUAGGCUAACACGUAUUCCAUCCAUGGCAAGGAGCACCACUGGAGGAGCUAUGGGAUCAUGGAGUUCAGAGAAUGGUCUGGUAGAUAAUGCUUAUGAGUCUACUCUGCUGGAGGAAUUCAAGACCAAUAAGACCCGAUCUUUUGAGCUGCUAGAUAUUGUAGGUCAUGUGGUCGAGUUCAGCUCGGAUCAGUAUGGGAGUCGCUUUAUACAGCAGAAACUUGAAACAGCUUCUACUGAAGAGAAGAACAUGAUUUUUCCAGAAAUACUUCCCCAAGCACGAACGUUGAUGACUGAUGUUUUUGGAAACUAUGUUAUACAGAAGUUCUUCGAGUAUGGGACUGAACCACAACAGAAGCAAUUGGCAAACCUACUCAAGGGUCAUGUAUAUACGCUGAGUACACAAAUGUAUGGCUGCCGGGUUAUUCAGAAGGCUUUAGAAGUGGUUGGUGUGGAGCAACAAACACAAAUGGCUUUGGAGCUUGACGGAAACACAAUUAUUCUGAAAUUAGUUCGUGAUCAGAACGGCAACCAUGUAAUCCAGAAGUGCAUAGAAUGCAUCCCUCAAGAAAGGAUACAGUUCAUCGUUUCUGCUUUUUAUGGACAAGUGGUUGAACUUUCCACCCAUCCAUAUGGUUGCCGUGUUAUUCAGAGAGUCUUGGAGCACUGUGAUGAUGAAAGCACGCAAAAUGCCAUGAUGGAGGAGAUCAUGCAGUGUGUGGUUCCUUUGACACAAGACCAGUAUGGCAAUUAUGUUAUCCAGCAUGUCUUGCAACACGGGAAACCAGAAGAACGUACUUCUAUAAUUAAGCAGCUUGCUGGGCAGAUCGUGAAGAUGAGCCAACAAAAAUUUGCUUCCAACGUUGUUGAGAAGUGUCUGUCUUUUGGUUCUCCUGAGGAGCGCCAGAUUCUAAUUAAUGAAAUGCUUGGCACUACUGACGAGAAUGAGCCAUUACAGGCAAUGAUGAAAGACCAGUUUGCAAACUAUGUAGUGCAGAAGGUUUUGGAGACUUGCGACGACCACAACCGUGAGCUGAUUCUUUCGCGUAUCAAGGUCCACCUGAACGCACUGAAGAGAUACACCUACGGGAAACAUAUUGUUGCCCGGGUGGAGAAGCUUAUAGCCGCAGGAGAAAGGCGUAUCGGGGUCUCGUCGCAGUCUUGCAGAGAUUGA
rnacentral:rRNA from 1 species